CCCAACCCAAACCCUUUGUUUUUGCGUUCAGGGGUGCCCGUCUGGCUUGGGAUCGAAGCGGAGAACCUGGGAGUUGGAACGGUAAGUGCGCGUUCUGGAUAACACUACAGCAGCAGGCCGCCCCCACCCCGACCCGUCGUCAAGGCCAUGUGCGUCUGCGGCAGCUUCCACGACGUGGACGCCUUGGACGGGACCCUCACGUGCCUCCUCCUCGAGCAACUCGAGACGUUCGGGAAGCCGGCGUAGCAGUUGUGGUUUAGGCCGCAGCCGCGGUUGGCGUUGGUCCGGAAGCAGCUCAAAUGGCUACAAUUAGUUCGGUAAAGUUACCAAAGAAUAAAACGUAGUAGAAGUCUUGGUCGUGUUUAAGCUCCGUUUUGACAAAUGUAAGUCAUAAGUUUAUCUGUUCUUUAUUAAUUGUUAUUCUCGGGACCACUCUGACGACCUUUACAGAACGAACAAUGGUAUCUCCCACAAGUUCGAUCACUGCAGUGGUAGCUACAUUAGGUAAACCAAAAGAGACGAAAACCUAAACAAGUGUUUUAUCGGUGAAAACUCUUCCGACGUCCAAAAGUCCGUGACUAGGUCAUAUGACUACGUGGGUGACGUAGUCGUCGUUCUCUUCGGAAUCUACCUUCUUCGUAGGGUUCUAUGAACGAAGGCCUAGUACAUCAUAGGACGGUGAACGCCUAAAGAAAGAGACGCGUAUUCCUAAACUUGUAGUUCAAGGUUAGUGUGGCGUCGUCCCUAAUGUGAUUGGGAAUGGAAGGUCAGUUGAGGAGACGAUAUCUAUCAUGUAACGUCGGACGACAACCACGACUACCUUCCUCCCACCUCCGACUCCCAUUACAAGAAGAACGUAGUUAACUCUUAUACGUCAUACGACAUAGUCACCUACAAGAGGUAUGACACAAGAGACGUAAGCCAUGUCAGGUCUUUUAACGAUAAAAACUCUUCUUACCACCUUGUGUUCGAGAUUAAGUCAUGGGACUACGUUCAUGACGAUGUUAACGCUUCCUUCGUAACCUUCCCGUAACGUAGAUGCUACCACCGAUGACAUUCUAAGUGGACAGUAUGAGAGCAGUAUGACUAGAGUUACAUUUCCGAGUAUCACUGUUCUCGUUCCUAAUGUGUUAGGGUCUUCCUCGUGUGGUUCGUCGUGGUGUCGGUCGGCCACAUGGAGGAUGUUGACGUCCUACCGUUCCAUUAAGAGUUCGUCGACCUGGUAUGCCUGGUGGUCCACAGCGACGAGUUUUGGUCUUGCGGUUGCCUGUUCACGGCUUAACCUUAGGGCCGUUGAGUCCCAUGGGUGGUCGAGGUCCGGUCAUAGGUCCGGUAUACAUGAGUCGAGGUGGUGUCGUCAUGUGCCGCUGUAGUCCCCCGAAGAGGCGGGGAGGCGGUGGCGGCGGAGUACUCUACGUAGGAAGUGUGGUCUACGGUGGACGAGUAGUACCUUUACUCUACGUAGGAAGUGUGGUCUACGGUGGACGAGUAGUACCUUUACUCUACGUAGGAAGUGUGGUCUACGGUGGACGAGUAGUACCUUUAGUCGUCUCUGGCCGUUCACCACGGGGACCUUGACCGGUUGGUGGAGGCAUAAUGGUGGUAAUUCACACACACAUGGAAGCGGCGGUAAAGACUAAUCAAAUACCUCAAAACGUUGAGAUGUUAUGGCGAUGGGGUAAAACAAAUGGUAGAGACAGGAUGUUACUUUAUUGUCAGUUAUUUAAGAGUAGGUAGUAAAAAACCCAGUUACGCUCCGUGACUACCUUUCGACGAGUUUACG
rnacentral:rRNA from 1 species